UCCGUAGGUGGCUUGCUAAGUCAGACGUGAAAUCCCUCGGCUCAACCGGGGAACUGCGUCUGAGACUGGCGAGCUUGAGUGCAGGAGAGGAACGCGGAAUUCCAGGUGUAGCGGUGAAAUGCGUAGAUAUCUGGAGGAACACCGGUGGCGAAGGCGGCGUUCUGGACUGUAACUGACACUGAAAGACGAAAGCCAGGGGAGCAAACG
rnacentral:rRNA from 1 species